GUGUUUAAAAUUUGAUUAAUGUCAGUUCAGUUUUAUUGAAAGAUAUACUGAGUUGCUUGGAGAAUUGGCUGUUAUGAUUUAUUUUUCUUUCUUUCUUUUUUUUUUUUUAGGCUCCUCGACCUCCAAAACAACCCAAUGUUCAGGAUUUCCAGUUCUUUCCCCCACGUUUGUUUGAAUUACUGGAAAAAGAAAUUCUGUAUUACAGAAAAACUAUUGGGUACAAGGUAAUUGCAGUUCUCCAUUUUGUGUCCUCUUCCACCCUGAAACCAAAAAAUAUAUGAACAUUAACUAUUGUUUGUUUAACUAUUUUGAGCCUAGUAGAAAAGAAUAUUAUGUAUGUAUCCUAGCUGUAUAUGCCUAGCACAUAAUGUUUGAAUUGUUCUUCAUUAAAAGGAAAGGAAAAAACUUUGAUGACUAAUCUUUAUUUUUAAUAUAAUAAAUGCAGGGUAUUAGUAUGUUUUCUCUUGGAUUAGAUUGGAAUUUGUGAAAUGUAGUUUAGUUGAUUAAGAAUGUAAUUCAUCACAUGCUCUUUAAAAUAUAUUGUUUGAUGGCAUGGGAAAAUAUCUUUUAGGUACCUCGAAGUCCUGACCUUCCUAAUGCAGCACAGGCACAGAAAGAAGAGCAACUUAAAAUUGAUGAAGCUGAACCCCUUAAUGAUGAAGAGUUAGAGGAAAAAGAGAAGCUUCUGACACAGGUAUAGUCUUCAAUCGAUUCAAAAGUUAGUAAUUGUUAAUUUUAUAAAAUAUCCUGUGAGAUCGUGUUGGCAUACAAAGUAUAUUUCUUCUUAUACAGAGAUAGAAUAGUUGAACAUGGUAAAACAUGGAUAAAUGCUACAUUUUAAUUGUCAUUAGUUGAGGUAGUCAAGAAGAUUAUAGAUUUGCACUUGGUAGAGUGUGUGUAAUUUUGAACACCUUAUUUUCAGUGUUCCCAUCUUUCCUGUGAAUCUUCCACAUUGCUACCAAGUUAUUCUCAAUUAUAAAAUUCUGCUUGCUGCUUUUAAAACAUGGGAUUCAUUCAAGGUCUUUCAGAGUGCUCUUUAACUAAAGCUUUCCUUUACCUUAUGUUAUUUACUCCUUUGGGCAAACUACAACAGCAAAAAUUUCCCCUUUCAUACAGCAUAUUUUACUGUCUCCAACUUUGAGUUAUUGCUUGGGUAUCUAAGCAAUUAGAAACAUUUUGUGUAGUAUUUGGAAGGGUAGGUAAAGUAUAAUAGCAUUUUUCCCAUGUUUAAUGUGCUAUAAUGAAAUAUUUUGUUUCUUUUACUAUGUAGGGAUUUACCAAUUGGAAUAAGAGAGAUUUUAAUCAGUUUAUCAAAGCUAAUGAGAAGUGGGGUCGUGAUGAUAUUGAAAAUAUAGCAAGAGAAGUAGAAGGAAAAACUCCAGAAGAAGUCAUUGAAUACUCUGGUAAUUCUUUUAUUAUUUUAAUACAUAUUUUAUAAGUCUUGCAAGAGGUGUUUGAAGUUUCUUAUUUUCUUAUUCUGAAUUUUUAUUCUGAAUAGUUUUGAUCAGCUAAAGUUUCCAUUUUAGUGCCUUGUUUUGUGCUUUUUUAAAGAAUAUGAACAUAUACACACACACAUACACAUAUGUAUAUAUAAAUGUAGAGAGAGAAAUACAUAUUCUUAGUUGCAGAAGGACACCUUUAUUUUAUUUAUUUUUAUGUGGUGCUGAGGCUCAAACCCAGUGACUCACAUGUGCUAGGUAAGUACUCUACCACGGAGCCACAACCCUAGCCUGACUUUCUGCUUUUUGAAACAAAAAAUGUCUCCC
rnacentral:lncRNA from 1 species